rnacentral:rRNA from 1 species
AUGAGGCUAUGGACAAGUGUAGACUCUGAUUCCAGGCAUUUUCGUGACAAUAUCAGGUUUUUCAAUGGCCACUUCUCAUUCACCUCACUAUAUUGUCACCUUGAUAGUGAUACCACUAACAUAUCAAAGCACCCUAUCUAUACAUUUCGUGCCCAUGGCCAAAUGUACCACAACAUACGGUCAUUCGGCAAACAAGAUGGUUUGGAUCGUAGUCACUUGGAGCUCUACUUCUAUGAUGAUGACCCCAGUUUAGAACACAGGUAUCGCAGUUGCCGUAAAGAGCAGUGCCAGAAAGACAAAGAAGUAAUCACACAAUUGGUCAAGAUACUUCAUGGCAACCCAUACUCUGAACACCUCCGGAGUAUGGGCCAUGUUGAUGAUGUUGAUGACUAUCACAUAACACUUAACCUUGACCAACGGAUGGAUCAAAGAAGAUAUAACACGCCGACCACUUCAGAGGUAGCUGCUGUGUGGGUGGAGGAUAGUGAACGUCGAAGACAAUUCGAAAAUAGCGUCAUCCUGCAAGGUAAGAAUAGAGAUAUAUAUGGCAUCAAGUCCUACCAUGGAUGCUAUGAUGCGUUGUCGUACCCUCUUUUCUUCCCUAGAGGUGAACUUGGG